UCAUUUUUAUGCGCGUUUUACGAAAACCUGCGGCGAUCGAAUUGCGUCAGAAGAUGGCUGAAACGCAACAGUAGGCCGAAACGUCACGCAAGAAAAAACAAAACCCAAACAUAACAAUAGUAGCAAAACUAGCGCAAAAAAAGGAAACCCGUAGUAGGAAGAAGAAACAUCAUGCUUACGUUAUGUCUUCUGUACUGAAAUUAGACACAAUCGAAUUGAUAAAGUUCUCCCGCAUAAUCACGGCACGGAUCGACUUCCAGUCGGAGGCGUUCUCUCCCAGUAGCAAACAGAUGGACUCCAGUGCCAGCUUGACGACGGCCGGUGGGUUAGCCAUGGAGCGAACCUCCACCAGAUGCUGUUUCUUGAUCGAUUUAACGGCUGCAGGUUUUUAGUUUUGGUGAGUUGAAUAUAAAUACAUUAUAGGUGCGGGGUAGUUGAUGCGUGAAAAUUACAGUUUGGUUAGCGAACAUUUUGGUUGAGAUAUUGUUUUGUAUGUAUGUGUGAGUGUUAGCCGCGUACGAAUAACAGUUGAAAAGAGAAAGAAGAAAAUAAAUACUUUCGUUUAGUUGGUUUCUUGGUUGUGAAAAAAGGAUGAAGUAUAAUUUGUAAUGCACAAUAUGAAUAUAUGUAGGUAUAUGAAUGAAUUAUCGUAUUAUUUGUUCGAUCCGCAUUCCACAUUCGUGCCGAAGUUAUUUGUUUCGCUUGAUAUUCUGAUCAUUGGUAAAUAUUCCAUUAAGCAACACUGCAUGUUUAAGUUAGACUGGAUCAGCGUUAUUGAGCCAACA